rnacentral:rRNA from 1 species
GACGAACGCUGGCGGCGUGCUUAACACAUGCAAGUCGAACGGAAAGGCCCUGCUUUUGUGGGGUGCUCGAGUGGCGAACGGGUGAGUAACACGUGAGUAACCUGCCCUUGACUUUGGGAUAACUUCAGGAAACUGGGGCUAAUACCGGCGAGGAGCUCCUGCUGCAUGGUGGGGGUUGGAAAGUUUCGGCGGUUGGGGAUGGACUCGCGGCUUAUCAGCUUGUUGGUGGGGUAGUGGCUUACCCAGGCUUUGACUGGUAGCCGGCCUGGGAGGGUGAACGGCCACAUUGGGACUGAGAUACGGACCAGACUGCUACGGGAGGCAGCAGUGGGGAAUAUUAUCCAGUGGGCGGAAGCCUGAUGCAGCAAUGCUGCGUGCGGGAUGACGGCCUUGUUGUUGUAAACCGCUGUCGGUUGUGACGAUGCUUUAGUGACGUUACUGGGUGAAGAAGCACCGGCUAACUACGUG